UACGUAGGGGGCUAGCGUUGUCCGGAUUCACUGGGCGUAAAGAGCGCGCAGGCGGUCGUACAAGUCGCGUGUGAAAGCCCCCGGCUCAACUGGGGAGGGUCACGCGAUACUGUUCGACUCGAAGGCAGGAGAGGGAAGUGGAAUUCCCGGUGUAGUGGUGAAAUGCGUAGAUAUCGGGAGGAACACCAGUGGCGAAGGCGACUUCCUGGCCUGUUCUUGACGCUGAGGCGCGAAAGCUAGGGGAGCAAACGGG
rnacentral:rRNA from 1 species